GCGCCGCCAGUCGGUGAGACGCGCCUCAACCCGGAAGUGUGAGAGGCGAAAUCUGCCUAGCAACCGGGGAAGCCGGGCUGUGAAGCGGGCAAUUUCAGUGUGAGACGGAGCGGCGAGACCGAGCGGCGCGACUCCCGAGUGCGGCGCGCAGCUCCUCCCGCCCGGGGUCAGCGCCCCGGCGCGCGCACGCGCAUCCCCGCCGCCCGAGCGCGUCCCGCGCCGCUCGCGCGCAGUCGGUCGGUCGCUCGCUCGCUCGCUCGCUCGUCCGUCGUCCUGUCGCCGUCGACCGCCGCACGGCGCCACCUGAAGGAGCCGUCCCGGGGCCCAGCCGCCCGCAGCCGGGGCGCCGCGCAACUUCGGUUGGUCAGCACGUUGAUGCAAGUUGCCUCUUGACGUAGCAAAUUGCCUCUCAUGGCCGCCUGGUAGGACCAGCAUCCCGGACCCUGAGGCCAGGUGAGUGCAUAGGGUCUGGCAUCUGUGGAGUGAAGUGGUCUGACUUGUCCAGCUGACCUCAGUCCUUGGCUGCUGAACUGAGUGCUGCUUCUGAAGCCGACAGCUUCUUCGUUGAGAAGACAGGGAAGCAGGUCCUUGUGGGGCUGCUGAGGCUUGGGGAAAGAUGACGUUCACAUUGGCCACUCAUUGUGCAGCCCAGGACUAAGUAAGAGGGCUGUCCUCUGAGGAUCAGGGGCAGAGGAUAAUCCUGGCGGGUGGCCUUUGCCCUCCAGCUCUUUUGCGAUUUCCCAAUGCUGCCCUAAAUGGUUAGAAUUUUUCCUUAAUCGCUGCCUAGAGUGGGGCCCUGCAGUGUGCUUGGAGGUGGUCACCCUCGCCCCACCCGGUGCCAGCUCAGGUGGCCUGUGUGGGGCUCUUGGGGGUUGGGGGCGGAUUGCAAGGACUGCCUGAUCUGGCAGAGCAAAGCUGCACAGCUGUGUGGGAGCGAUUCUCUUUCACCGUCAAGAGCCGGCAGUGACUUUUUGGCCCAGGGGCCAUCUACCUCAAGAAGAAUAUAGUCCUGAGCAGCGUCCUUGAACUCUGAGGCAGCUCAGUGACCUCCUGGGUCAGCUGCUUUCUUUUGCAGACUGUGAUACACUUGGCCCAGAGGUGGCAGGUAGCUCGCCCAGGGAUUCAUCCUCCUCUAAUGGUGUCUUACCAGCUACACAGGGUGAAAUUUGGCCACUCUUAACGUGCCUGCUGUGCUGAAUACAGUACUUGACAAGUGCUGGGGAUUAGUUUGGUUUUUAUUUUUGUUUCUGAGACAGAGUCUGGCUAUAUAGUCCAGUCCGACCUUAAACUCGCUGUCCUGCUGCCUCAGCCUCUGGAUGGAGCCACCCCUGCACCUGGCUUAAUUCAUCCAUUUAUAGGUACAUUUUCUGUAUCCAGGAGUUGUUUGGCCAUC
rnacentral:lncRNA from 1 species